AAGAGAGGGUGUGCGUUGCAGAGGGAAGCAGGCUGGGUGCUCAGCUGGCAGCUGCCCCUCAUCCCCGGGCACUGCUGCCCUCCUCCCUCACCUGGCACUGACCAGGCCACUCCAGGCUGCAUCCCAGGGCUGAGCAGGACAGAAGCAGACUCAGGUUUCUUCGUUUUCAGCAAGAACCCACAUGGAGCCUGUUAAAACUGGUGCCAGGCAGUUUGCCUGGGGGAUCUCAGACACAGCAGAUUCUCAGAGGUGCUGCUCUUCAUUCCAGCAGCAGCCUGGCAGAAGCACGGCAGAGAUGCAGGAGCUGCAGAGCAGGAGAUGUUUGCUGACUGCAUUUAAACUUCCACCCCUGGGAAAUGGAGAACAGUCAUGCACACCAACUUGUGGGAGCUCAUCAGUUUUUGGAAACAAAAACUUCUGCAGAUUUUAAUAGCAAAAUUGCCUGGCCUGAGAAAUAAACAGCUAACCCUUCAGGGAGAAAUUCACACUCAUUUGCUAUUUGUGGGGUGAUGACAUAGUGUGAAGAAGCAGUAAUGAUGACUGACUGAUAGAAGACACCAUAUGUUCUCUUCAUUUUUCUCUGUGCUAUUUUCUGAAAGAUGAAUAAAGACUCAGUAUAAGAUAAGCUUUCCU